GGAGAAUUCAUGGACAGAGGAGCCUAGUGGAUGGUCCAUGGGGUAGCAAAGAGCUGGACACAACUGAGUGACCAACAGUUUCACAUGUGUAUGCCACAUUUUUUCCUCCAUUCAUUCACUGGAACUCUCGGCUGGAUUUGUGACUUGCUUGAAGAAACAGAAUGUGAUGGAUGUGAAGCUGUGUGACUUUCAGCUUUUUGAAACAUAAUUAAAAGUCAUGAUUUAGAGCAUUUGCCAAUUUCUAAGAAUCCACCUGAAAUGCAGAAGACACAGGAAAUGUAGGUUUGAUCCCUAGGUCAGGAAGACCCCCUGUAGAGGAAAUGGCAACACACUCCAGUGUGCUUGCCUGAAAAAUCCUGUGGACAAAGGAGCCUAGUGGGCUAUGGUCCAAAGGGUUGCAAAGAGUUGGACAUGACUGAAUAACUGAGCACAUGGUGUAAGUGCUGCCAGCAUGACUGAUUUCGAGCUACCAAUGUGAUAUCACAGAGCAUGUAGUUGGAAAGAGAUAGCAUAUAUGACCAAUGGGCUCCAGCAUACCAUCGCUUCCAGACUUACUCCUUAAGAGAUCUGUCAGCUUCCAUUUUUGCUUUCUUGGAAUCCAGUUGACAUGAAGGAUCCUUGGGCUAGGCUUUUGAAUGAUGAGAGGCCAAAUGGAAAGAAAGGCCAUGUGGAAAAGAAAAGAAGCCUUAGGCGAUCCAUCCCUAGCUGGGCUCCCAGCUGAGUGCAGCUGCAUGCUUGGCCUCAGCCAACAUUCCAUGACAUGAAAGACCACGCAGCCAACUCACAGAAAUGUGAGACACAAUACAUUGUUGUAGAUUUAAGCGACUACAUUUUGGAAUAUUUUAAUUAGUCAGCAAUAGGUAACUGGAAACAUGUAUUGCCAAGCCAUUGUAAAACAAUUUUCACAUUUUACUCCUAUGUUAGCAACGUGGCUCAGCUGGUAAAGAAUCUUAUCUGCAAUGUGGGAGACCUGGGAAGAUCCCCUGAAGAAGGGAAAGGCUACCCACUCCAGUAUUUUGGCCUGGAGAAUUCCAUGGACUUUAUAGUCCGUGGGGUCUCACAGAGUCAGACAUGUCUAAGCAACUUUCACUUUCACUAGCAAUGUACAAGAGUGCCUUGUUCUUUGCACAUCAGCCUGCACUUUGCAUUAUCAUUCACCAGGUUGAUAAGUUAAAAAAUGUACUUUGCAGUUUAGCUUGUAUUCUUUGAAAAUGAAUUUGAAUAGUUUUUCAGAUGCUUAUUGGCCAUAAAUUGGCUGUGCUCUCUGUUCAUUUUUCUCUUGAUUUGUAAGGGCUCUUUAUAUUUUAAUAGGGCUUCUCAGGUGGCUCAAUGGUAAGUUAUCUGCCUGCAGUGUGGAAGACACAGGUUUGAUACCUGGGUCAGGAAUAUCGCCUGGAGAAGGAAAUGGCAACCCGCUGUAGUAUUGUUGCCUGGGAAAUACCAAGGACAGAGGAGCCUGGCAGGCUGUAGCCCAUGGGAUCACAAAAUAAUCAGACAUGACUUAGCGAGUAAACAAAAACAAUAUAGUUGGUUAACAAUUUUGUGUAUAGUAACAACAAAUGGACAAUAUUUUGCAAUGUAUGUGGCUACCUAAUUUGCUUGUAUGUUCUUUGCAGUAAAAAGCUUAAACUAUUUGUAUGAAAAAAUGAUGCCUAUGGCAGUUUUCUGCAAGUUUCUUAUAACAUGAUCAUUUUCAAUUUUGGCUUAUUUGUUUUUUUAGUAUUUCUCACUGUAUUCUAAUAUUUCCCCUGGAUUUCUUAUUAGUGAUUUUAUUCAAAUGAAAUCUUCAGCUGAAACCCAGUACAAAAUACACUCUCUCCAUUCCACUCCUCGUUCCAAUUUAAACAACACUGGCUCAGGCCACUGCGGUAGGUUAAUUCUUCAGCCAUCCUUGUAUUAAAUACUAUGGAAAACCUUUGCAUAAACAGCUUGCCAAUUUUAAUUUCACAAAUUUGAAGGUGUGAUUUUAAAAUGUUAUCAGUUUACACAAAUUUUGAAUAAUAUGAAUCUUUAAAAACAAAAAGUAUUUAAAAUUGUAUUGGAUUCUGG
ensembl:lncRNA